AUUGAACGCUGGCGGCAGGCCUAACACAUGCAAGUCGAACGAGUGGCGGACGGGUGAGUAAUGUCUGGGAAACUGCCUGAUGGAGGGGGAUAACUACUGGAAACGGUAGCUAAUACCGCAUACCAUCGGAUGUGCCCAGAUGGGAUUAGCUUGUAGGUGUGGUAACGGCUCACCUAGGCGACGAUCCCUAGCUGGUCUGAGAGGAUGACCAGCCACACUGGAACUGAGACACGGUCCAGACUCCGACGGGAGGCAGCAGUGGGGAAUAUGGAACAAUGGGCGCAAGCCUGAUGCAGCCACGCCGCGUGUAUGAAGAAGGCCUUCGGGUUGUAAAGUAAUUUCAGCGGGGAGGCGUUACCCGCAGAAGAAGCACCGGCUAACUCCGUGCCAGCAGCCGCGGUAAUAC
rnacentral:rRNA from 1 species